GACGAACGCUGGCGGCGUGCUUAACACAUGCAAGUCGAACGGAAAGGCCCUGCUUUUGUGGGGUGCUCGAGUGGCGAACGGGUGAGUAACACGUGAGUAACCUGCCCUUGACUUUGGGAUAACUUCAGGAAACUGGGGCUAAUACCGGAUAGGAGCUCCUGCUGCAUGGUGGGGGUUGGAAAGUUUCGGCGGUUGGGGAUGGACUCGCGGCUUAUCAGCUUGUUGGUGGGGUAGUGGCUUACCAAGGCUUUGACGGGUAGCCGGCCUGAGAGGGUGACCGGCCACAUUGCGACUGAGAUACGGCCCAGACUCCUACGGGAGGCAGCAGUGGGGAAUAUUGCACAAUGGGCGGAAGCCUGAUGCAGCAACGCCGCGUGCGGGAUGACGGCCUUCGGGUUGUAAACCGCUUUCGCCUGUGACGAAGCGGGAGUGACGGUAAUGGGUCAAGAAGCACCGGCUAACUACGUG
rnacentral:rRNA from 1 species